rnacentral:rRNA from 1 species
ACGGCUCAGUAACACGUAGUCAAUCUGCCCUAUGGACGUGGAUAACCUCGGGAAACUGAGAAUAAUCCGCGAUAGAUCAUAAUGCCUGGAACGGUUUAUGGUCCAAAUGAUUCGUCGCCAUAGGAUGGGACUGCGGCCUAUCAGCUUGUUGGUGAGGUAAUGGCCCACCAAGGCUAUUACAGGUACGGGCUCUGAGAGGAGAAGCCCGGAGAUGGGUACUGAGACACGGACCCAGGCCCUAUGGGGCGCAGCAGGCGAGAAACCUUUGCAAUGUGCGCAAGCACGACAAGGUUAAUCCGAGUGUUUCCUGCUAAAGGAAUCUUUUGUUAGUUCUAAAACCACUGAUGAAUAAGGGGUGGGCAAGUUCUGGUGUCAGCCGCCGCGGUAAAACCAGCACCUCAAGUGGUCAGGAGGAUCAUUGGGCCUAAAGCAUCCGUAGCCGGUUCUGUAAGUUUCCGGUUAAAUCCACUAGCUCAACUAAUGGGCUGCCGGAAAUACUGCAAAACUAGGGAGUGGGAGAGGUAGACGGUACUCGGGAGGAAGGGGUAAAAUCCUUUGAUCUCUUGAUGACCACCUGUGGCGAAGGCGGUCUACCANAACACGUUCGACGGUGAGGGAUGAAAGCUGGGGGAGCAAACCGGAUUAGAUACCCGGGUAGUCCCAGCUGUAAACGAUGCANACUCGGUGAUGCACUGGCUUUUGGCCAGUGCAGUGCCGCAGGGAAGCCGUUAANUUUGCCGCCUGGGAAGUACGUACGCAAGUAUGAAACUUAAAGGAAUUGGCGGGGGAGCACCACAAGGGGUGAAGCCUGCGGUUCAAUUGGAUUCAACGCCGGAAAGGGCGAAUUCGCGGCCGCUAAAUUCAAU